GGAAAGAUGGCUGAGUGGUUUAAGGCGCACGCUUGGAAAGUGUGUGUACCUUCAUUGGUACCGUGGGUUCGAAUCCCACUCUUUCCUCCA
rnacentral:tRNA from 1 species